rnacentral:rRNA from 1 species
CCGCGGUGAUACGGAGGGUGCAAGCGUUAAUCGGAAUUACUGGGCGUAAAGCGCACGCAGGCGGUUUGUUAAGUCAGAUGUGAAAUCCCCGCGCUUAACGUGAGAACUGCAUUUGAAACUGGCAAGCUAGAGUCUUGUAGAGGGGGGUAGAAUUCCAGGUGUAGCGGUGAAAUGCGUAGAGAUCUGGAGGAAUACCGGUGGCGAAGGCGGCCCCCUGGACAAAGACUGACGCUCAGGUGCGAAAGCGUGGGGAGCAAACAGGAUUAGAUACCCUGGUAGUCCACGCUGUAAACGAUGUCGACUUGGAGGUUGUGCCCUUGAGGCGUGGCUUCCGGAGCUAACGCGUUAAGUCGACCGCCUGGGGAGUACGGCCGCAAGGUUAAAACUCAAAUGAAUUGACGGGGGCCCGCACAAGCGGUGGAGCAUGUGGUUUAAUUCGAUGCAACGCGAAGAACCUUACCUACCCUUGACAUCCACGGAAUUCGCCAGAGAUGGCUUAGUGCCUUCGGGAACCGUGAGACAGGUGCUGCAUGGCUGUCGUCAGCUCGUGUUGUGAAAUGUUGGGUUAAGUCCCGCAACGAGCGCAACCCUUAUCCUUUGUUGCCAGCACGUAAUGGUGGGAACUCAAAGGAGACUGCCGGUGAUAAACCGGAGGAAGGUGGGGAUGACGUCAAGUCGUCAUGGCCCUUACGAGUAGGGCUACACACGUGCUACAAUGGCAUAUACAAAGAGAAGCGAACUCGCGAGAGCAAGCGGACCUCAUAAAGUAUGUCGUAGUCCGGAUUGGAGUCUGCAACUCGACUCCAUGAAGUCGGAAUCGCUAGUAAUCGUAGAUCAGAAUGCUACGGUGAAUACGUUCCCGGGCCUUGUACACACCGCCCGUCACACCAUGGGAGUGGGUUGCAAAAGAAGUAGGUAGCUUAACCUUCGGGAGGGCGCUUACCACUUUGUGAUUCAUGACUG